rnacentral:tRNA from 1 species
UCCCUGGUGGCUCAGCUGGUAAAGAAUCUGCCUGCAACGCAGGACACAUUGGUUCAAUUCCUGUAUUGGGAA